rnacentral:rRNA from 1 species
UACGUAGGGUGCAAGCGUUAAUCGGAAUUACUGGGCCUAAAGCAUCCGUAGCCGGUCAUGCAAGUCCUCCGUUAAAUCCACCUGCUUAACAGAUGGGCUGCGGAGGAUACUACAAGGCUAGGAGGCGGAAGAGGCAAGCGGUACUCAGUGGGUAGGGGUAAAAUCCUCUGAUCCAUUGAAGACCACCAGUGGCGAAGGCGGCUUGCCAAUACGCGCUCGACGGUGAGGGAUGAAAGCUGGGGGAGCAAACCGG